rnacentral:rRNA from 1 species
CACUUAGCGCCGGCUAACUCUGUGCCAGCAGCCGCGGUAAUACAGAGGGUGCGAGCGUUAAUCGGAUUUACUGGGCGUAAAGCGUGCGUAGGCGGCUUUUUAAGUCGGAUGUGAAAUCCCCGAGCUUAACUUGGGAAUUGCAUUCGAUACUGGGAAGCUAGAGUAUGGGAGAGGAUGGUAGAAUUCCAGGUGUAGCGGUGAAAUGCGUAGAGAUCUGGAGGAAUACCGAUGGCGAAGGCAGCCAUCUGGCCUAAUACUGACGCUGAGGUACGAAAGCAUGGGGAGCAAACAGGAUUAGAUACCCUGGUAGUCCAUGCCGUAAACGAUGUCUACUAGCCGUUGGGGCCUUUGAGGCUUUAGUGGCGCAGCUAACGCGAUAAGUAGACCGCCUGGGGAGUACGGUCGCAAGACUAAAACUCAAAUGAAUUGACGGGGGCCCGCACAAGCGGUGGAGCAUGUGGUUUAAUUCGAUGCAACGCGAAGAACCUUACCUGGCCUUGACAUACUAGAAACUUUCCAGAGAUGGAUUGGUGC